CUAUGCGCCUUGCCAGCCCGCUCAGGUGUGCCAGCCGCCGCGGUAAUACGUAGGUGGCAAGCGUUAUCCGGAUUUAUUGGGUGUAAAGGGCGUGUAGGCGGGAAUGCAAGUCAGAUGUGAAAACUAUGGGCUCAACCCAUAGCCUGCAUUUGAAACUGUAUUUCUUGAGUGCUGGAGAGGCAAUCGGAAUUCCGUGUGUAGCGGUGAAAUGCGUAGAUAUACGGAGGAACACCAGUGGCGAAGGCGAUUCUCUGGACUGUAACUGACGCUGAGGCUCGAAAGCGUGGGGAGCAAACAGG
rnacentral:rRNA from 1 species